rnacentral:rRNA from 1 species
AGUGAACGCUGGCGGCGUGCUUAACACAUGCAAGUCGAACGAGAACGGAUUAUAGCUUGCUAUAAUUGUCAGCUAAGUGGCGCACGGGUGAGUAAUGUAUAGGUAAUAUGCCUCUUACUAAGGGAUAACAAUUGGAAACGUUUGCUAAUACCUUAUACUCCUUAUUAACAUAAGUUAAUAAGGGAAAGAUUUAUUGGUAAGAGAUUAGCCUGUAUUGUAUCAGUUAGUUGGUGGGGUAAUGGCUUACCAAGACUAUGACACAUAACUGGUUUGAGAGGAUGAUCAGUCACACUGGAACUGAGACACGGUCCAGACUCCUACGGGAGGCAGCAGUGGGGAAUAUUGCACAAUGGACGAAAGUCUGAUGCAGCAACGCCGCAUGGAGGAUGACACAUUUCGGUGCGUAAACUCCUUUUAUAUGAGAAGAUAAUGACGGUAUUAUAUGAAUAAGCACCGGCUAACUCCGUGCCAGCAGCCGCCGUAA